GAUGAACGCUGGCGGCGUGCCUAAUACAUGCAAGUCGAGCGAACAGAUGAGGAGCUUGCUCCUCUGACGUUAGCGGCGGACGGGUGAGUAACACGUGGAUAACCUACCUAUAAGACUGGGAUAACUUCGUGAAACCGGAGCUAAUACCGGAUAAUAUAUUGAACCGCAUGGUUCAAUAGUGAAAGACGGUUUUGCUGUCACUUAUAGAUGGAUCCGCGCCGCAUUAGCUAGUUGGUAAGGUAACGGCUUACCAAGGCAACGAUGCGUAGCCGACCUGAGAGGGUGAUCGGCCACACUGGAACUGAGACACGGUCCAGACUCCUACGGGAGGCAGCAGUAGGGAAUCUUCCGCAAUGGGCGAAAGCCUGGCGGAGCAACGCCGCGUGAGUGAUGAAGGUCUUCGGAUCGUAAAACUCUGUUAUUAGGGAAGAACAAAUGUGUAAGUAACUAUGCACGUCUUGACGGUACCUAAUCAGAAAGCCACGGCUAACUACGUG
rnacentral:rRNA from 1 species